rnacentral:rRNA from 1 species
UGGGGAAUAUUGGGCAAUGGGCGCAAGCCUGACCCAGCAACGCCGCGUGAAGGAAGAAGGCUUUCGGGUUGUAAACUUCUUUUGGCAGGGACGAAACAAAUGACGGUACCUGCAGAAUAAGCUCCGGCUAACUACGUGCCAGCAGCCGCGGAAAUACGUAGGGAGCAAGCGUUAUCCGGAUUUAGUGGGAGUAAAGGGCGCGUAGGCGGGAAUGCAAGUCAGGUGUGAAAUCUGAGGGCUCAACCCUGAAACGGCAUUUGAAACUGUAUUGCUUGAGUGAUGGAGAGGCAAGUGGAAUUCCUAGUGUAGCGGUGAAAUGCGUAGAUAUUAGGAGGAACACCAGUGGCGAAGGCGACUUGCUGGACAUUAACUGACGCUGAGGCGCGAAAGCGUGGGGAGCAAACA